AUUGAACGCUGGCGGCAGGCCUAACACAUGCACGUCGAACGAGUGGCGGACGGGUGAGUAAUGUCUGGGAAACUGCCCGCUGGAGGGGGCUAACUACUGGAAACGGUCACUAAUACCGCAUACCAUCGGAUGUGCCCAAAUGGGAUUAGCUAUUAGGUGGGGUAACGGCUCACAUAGGAGACGAUCCCUAGCUGGUCUGAGAGGAUGACCAGCCACACUGGACCUGAGACACGGACCAGGCGCCUACGGGAGGCAGCAGUGGGGAAUAUUGCACAAUGGGCGAAAGCCUAAUGCAGCCAUGCCGCGUGUAUGAAGAAGGCCUUCGGGUUGUAAAGUACUUUCAGCGAGGAGGCGUUACUCGCAGAAUAAGCACCGGCUAACUACGUGCCAGCAGCCGCGGUAAUUC
rnacentral:rRNA from 1 species